rnacentral:rRNA from 1 species
CUAGUCAGCCGGAUGUGGAGGACGACAAACUGGGAAAAGGUUUGGGUUUCUGUCAUGAUCGUCUCUCCCUCGACAGGGCUUAGGCAGCCAAUGGUGCUGACGGCGGCCGCUACCGAGGGAGGCGGCUGCAGCGGCGCGGGCGGGGCUGGGGAGGCGACCGCGGGGAGUAGCGGCGCGUCGAGUUCAAGGAGGAGUGGUUGAGGUCAGAGGGGUAGUUCCACCACGUCUAGACCAGGCCUACGUCGUCGCCGGCGAUGCGGCUAGCGAAGUGGGAGCCGUAGGGGAAGACGGAGCUGAUGCAGAUGACCCUAAAGAACAUAUUACGCUACGUGGGGUUCCACCGCGGCCUGCAGUAUAAGCCCGUCCCGCUGCUCCCCAAGGUCGGCGACCAGCUAAUACUGCUCAGGCCCUUACCCCCGUUCUCGACGAACCGUGUGACCCUAAUGGCGCUGGGGGCACCGGAGGAGACGGAGCACCUCCUCGAGGCCAAUAAUAUGUAACUCAUGGUUUUCUUCGACCAACUCUUUCACCUACUACGUUCUGACUUCAAACUUUAUUCGUGUCAAGAACGAUUCCUCCCCUAACUUCAGAGGCACCAUAGUAGUUGACCAUCCAGUCUACUCCACUUUAAACGACAGGGCGAAGACCUAAAUCUGGAGUUUUACUACCACGGACCUACAGGAACCUUUGAAGGGGUUUUCUAGGUAGACGUCCGGUAUAAAGGCCAAUCGUCAUCAAUGGAGAGACAAGGAAGACGUGGUCCUGACUUUGAUUGGAGUUGAGGACUAAACUUCAGUAAAAAGAGACACCUACCACAAUUCGAGGGACGUACCCAUCUACCCUACACGUACCGACUCAUAUAAGGGUGAAAUCUUCUUCUGGAAUUUAACGUCCAGCACCUACGUAGUCGAAGUUAGCCAACGUCCUCUGCUAAGUAACUCCGGGAUCGAGGACGAAAGCCCUCUGGUAACCUCCGACUAGGCUAAAAAACGUCCUUUCGGUGUCAAGAAAGGUAAAGCCCCUAAAAGUGUAAAGACCAAGUGAAACAGUAGGGGGAAGUUAAGGGGUUUGUUGUUGGAUAGGACUGAAACGUCUCAACAGUCGUGACAUUAAGGGUUCCAUAUGGAUAGUGCAGUAGAGGUUUUUUGUCGAUAGGUACCUCAGGAUCUACCCUUCACUGUCUUUACCGCCUUGCGUAGAUGCUGAUAGAGCGGCUGCUCACGGUCUUAAAGUUCUUCAAUACGUCACUACCAAAGGGAGUUCGUUUCAUCGGUUCCUCCUUCGUAGAGAUGGGAAAACCGAACGUGCGAGACGGGCAUUUGACAUCAGGAGCUGAUAAACACACUGCUCGCUCCUCGUUCCUUCGUCGGACUGGUCCGUCAUCUUAGUCAGGUAUCCCGUUCUCUCACGAAGAUAGACCGUUCAUUUAACACAUGUUAUCGCAACAACCAAACAACUACGGUGGGGACAACCAGUACCACCAAAACCCCCUCUUUACCGUUAAGUCAAGAAGGGCAGAACCCUCAACACAUGUAUACCUAUAACCAGCAACUUAAGAGAGGUCACAUUUCAAACGACGUACACUGUCAUCCUCAUACUUGGCAAAACAAGAACUCGUAGACGCUGUUGAGACCGCGCUUGAGCUUCUUUAGUCGACGAAAAAAAAAAUAGUUCAUGAACAGACGUAUUUAUAAG